rnacentral:lncRNA from 1 species
GGGCUUGGGAGAUUCCUACAUUUCAGGAUGGCUUUGGUGUCUGCAGGUCACAUAUAAUUUAAUGUUUUCAGUUACACUGUAUCAACUUUAAAAAUAAUUCGGUGAGGGAAGGAACCUCGAUCUUGGCAUCCUGGGGUUCUGGGUUCUGACCUCUGUCCUGGCAUCCCGAAGGGUCUGAUGAUGUUUGCUGGAUGUGUGGCAGCUCCAGGGCUCGGCUGCCUCUUUUUGGUUAUUUGGUUUCUUGUUCCUCCCAGUGACUGAAAACCCCUCCCUCCCUGGCUUUUUAUAGAAGCUAAGAAAAGAGCUUAUUUUGUGACUGCAUCCGGACCUUGAGUUCUUUGGCUCUUGUGUGAGUGGAUGGUGACACCAGGCCAGCUGGGGAUUCUUCCCAGGCUGGGCUCACAGGCUGGGGCUGGGCACACGGAGCAGCUGCGGGAAAAGGAUCUGGACACCAGCCCCCCAGCGUGUCACCGGCAGGAAGGUGAGGUGGGAACAGAGUGACGUCCAUGCAUGUUCAGAGACAAGGUUUCCCUACGUUGCCCAGACUGGUCUUGAACUCCUAGCCUCAAGCAGUCCUUCUGCCUCAGCCUCCCAAUGUGCUGGGAUUACAGGCAUGAGCCACUGCACUUGACCAAGGGACUAAGCCAGUGGAUCACAAACAUCCUGGAGAGCAGUGACUCUGUGAUUCCAUCACAAGAAUAUGAAGGACUGAGAAGAUCUCCAGCUCUGCCCAUUGCACCUUCCCAUUGAGAAGCAGCAUGGCACCCUGGUGGCAGGGGCUGAUACUCAGCCGGGCCAGGGUGCUCUCCUGUUAACCAUAACCAAGCUCACAGGACAUGGGAUGAGCCCACUGUGUGACACAGGGAGCGGGACACAGUCUGUUAAGUCUUGCACAGCCAUGCUCUGCCACGCAGGCAGGCCUUUCCUUGGCCUCCCUCUCCCUGUUCGUGCUCAUGUGAACAUCCACCUACGUGGAUAGACUGGGCUUUGGUUCAUUAUUGCUCUGUGAAUUCCUCGAACUUCCGCAUCUGCCCAACCUCCCCCACCCCAUUGUUUUCAUUGUGUUUCACCAAAUGGAAAUUCUAGAGUAAGCAUGUGAGUCCUCUCCCAAACUUGUUCACUGUUGAGAGUGCUAAAAUGCUAACCCCAGAUGCUAACUGAGGGGUAGGGUUACCUUAUCUUUAGAGCACUGCGAAUUGUAUGUUAAGUGGAACUUAAUGAAAAAAUAGUUAAUUGACCAACAUGAAUAUCCCCUGAACAGAAUCUCCCCUGAACAGAAUCCUACAAUGAAACUAAGGGAGAUAAAUAAAGCUGUUUACCUGAAAGCUCUCUCUAAUCAAGAUCCUUUGAAAUUUAUAAAACAUGGUCAAUAUUUGCACUGGACUUUGUAAAAAUAAAGCUUGAUAAGAGAAGAGUUUGAAGUGAAAUGCUGCCACUUUCUAUGCAAUAUUUGAUUUAAAUUUAAUUCCUAGAAACCUCAGAUGAAUGUGGUUCAUGUAUCAAAGCACUCAGCAUUAUUUAUCGCGGCCUUAAAUACACAGUGAGCUUACAUGUGAAUGAAUACAUAUAUUAUGUAUCUCUCUCUAUAUAUAUACUAUAUAGAUAAUAUAGUAUAUAUAUAUAUAUAGUGUAUAUAUACACUAUAUAUAUCGUGUAUACAUAUACUAUCUAUAUAGUAUAUAUGUAUAUGGUAUAUAUAUCUAUCUAUAGAUAGAUAGAUAGAUAUACUUAAAAAAACCCCAUUCCCUUAAGAGCAGUUAAGGGACACCAUAUAUCAAAUUUCUUGGCACGUUGUGAAUAUUAAUAUCCCCAAAGUGUCAAUGUCAAAUGAUUUGACUUGAAAUCACUAAGCUUGGUAAUCUCACUAUUUUUAAACAAGGCCUAACAUCUUUUAAUCUUGAAUACCAGCAAGUUCUCAGACUUCAGUUGUUUAUUUUCUCUUUUCUUUCCUUUAAAAAAUUCUGACAAGCUCUUUUCCUUGACACAAAGAAAGCGUAUAAAUUUUAUUUUGGUUUGAACAACAGAAAUUUGCCUCUCAGAAUUCUGGAGAUUGGAAAGUCUAAGGACUAAGCUGCUGGCCAAUUUAGUUCUUAGUGAGGACUCUCUUCCUGGCUUGUAGAUGGCUGCCUUCUCACUGCAUCCUCAGAGAGAGAGAGAGAGAGGGCUCUUGUGUCUCUUCCUUUCUCAUAAAGCGUCAGCUCUCUUGUAUUAGGGUCCCACCCAUAAUUACCCCCUUAUAUGCCCCAUCUACAAAUAGAGUCACAUUGUGGGUUAGAGCUUGGCAGUGAAUAAUUAUGGAGGUUAUUGUUGGCUUUAGAAUUUCGUGGUAGAAACAAUAAAUUGCCUUUGUGUUUA